GACGAACGCUGGCGGCGUGCCUAAUACAUGCAAGUCGAACGCACUCUCGUUUAGAUUGAAGGAGCUUGCUCCUGAUUGAUAAACAUUUGAGUGAGUGGCGGACGGGUGAGUAACACGUGGGUAACCUGCCCUAAAGUGGGGGAUAACAUUUGGAAACAGAUGCUAAUACCGCAUAAAACCUAAACACCGCAUGGUGUAGGGUUGAAAGAUGGUUUCGGCUAUCACUUUAGGAUGGACCCGCGGUGCAUUAGUUAGUUGGUGAGGUAAAGGCUCACCAAGACCGUGAUGCAUAGCCGACCUGAGAGGGUAAUCGGCCACACUGGGUCUGAGACACGGCCCAGACUCCUACGGGAGGCAGCAGUAGGGAAUCUUCCACAAUGGACGAAAGUACUGAUGGAGCAACGCCGCGUGAGUGAAGAAGGUUUCGGAUCGUAAAACUCUGUUGUGUAGAAGAUGUAUCUGAUAGUAACUGAGUCAGGUAGUGACGGUAGUCCAACCAG
rnacentral:rRNA from 1 species